GCCUCGCUCAGGCUGCCGAUCGGCUCGCUCUCUGUGCGUUGGAACCGCGGAGGGCAUUCGCUAUGUGACUCAGGGCAAGUGUGCGCAACUCUCUGAGCCUCCGCGGCAUUCUCUAGCAAAAUGGUGGAGCCGGUACCCGGCUGUAAGGCAAGCUGGGAUGCGCGGAGUAGCGGGUGGAAAGCUGGACUGGAGUUCUCACUCGGCCGCUGGGUGACUUCGGUGCACUAGGGAUAGUAACAGUACCACCUCGUAGGGUUGUAGAAAGACCAAGUGAGUUAAUAUUUGUAAAGUGUUUAGAACAGCGUCUACUGCAUGGAAAGUAGUAUUUAUUUGUUAGAGAGACUCCAGGAGGUCUUGCCCAGUGAUUGACUUCUCCCUUCCCCGUCUCCACCCCCCACAUUCCCUUUUGUGAGCCAAGCCUUGCUUUUGCACCGGCCGGGCUCUCUUGCCUGGAAAUGCAUGCCCAUCUCAAACCUGGGCUUUAAAAUCACCUCCUCUGGGACGCCUUCCUCUACUUCUCACAGUUCAGGGCUAUUCUGCCCCACAUGGCAGAAAAUGACCAUGAUGCAGUACCAGAGUCUGCAUGGGACCAUUUCAACAACCCUUAGAAGCUGACUCAGCUGUCUCCUGGCCCUGACUUUUCUAAGAUGAGAGGAGCUGAUAGGAACAAUUUGGAAACCCUCAAAGGUUGAGAGUAUCCCACCCACUUCACAGAUGAAGCAAACUGAGGCCCAGAGAAGGGAAAUUACUUGCCCAAGAUCACCCAGCAAGUAAGAAACAGAGCUGGAGAUGAGCUCAGGUCAGCACGGAACCACGCAAACUCCUUCUGUAGGCUUUGUAAAGGAUUGAUGAGAAAAGCAGACGGUUAAGAGCGCUACAACUUCUGUGAGUUUCUCCAUGUUGGCCAGGCUGGCCUCGAACUCCCGCCCUCAGGUGAUCCACCUGCCUCGGCCUCCUAAAGUGCUGGGAUUACAGGCAUGAGCCACUGCGCCCAACCUGAAUAAUCUAUUAGAGUCUUUAUCUCUAAGAAGGGAAAUACAUCUGAACUAAAGGGUAAAAAAUGGCAUGUUUUAAUUGGUAAGUCUAAAUGCAAAACGAUGACAACAAAAUUUUAAAGGAUUGCU